rnacentral:rRNA from 1 species
GCCAGACUCCUACGGGAGGCAGCAGUGGGGGAUAUUGCACAAUGGGGGGAACCCUGAUGCAGCGACGCCGCGUGGGUGAAGGAGCGUUUCGGCGCGUAAAGCCCUAUCGGCAGGGAAGAAGGAGGACGGUACCUGACUAAGAAGCCCCGACUAACUACGUGCCAGCAGCCGCGGUAAUACGUAGGGGGCAAGCGUUAUCCGGAUUUACUGGGUGUAAAGGGGGCGCAGACGGCGAUGCAAGCCAGGAGUGAAAGCCCGGGGCCCAACCCCGGGACUGCUCUUGGAACUGCGUGGCUGGAGUGCAGGAGGGGCAGGCGGAAUUCCUGGUGUAGCGGUGAAAUGCGUAGAUAUCAGGAGGAACACCGGUGGCGAAGGCGGCCUGCUGGACUGCAACUGACGUUGAGGCCCGAAAGCGUGGGGAGCAAACAGGAUUAGAUACCCUUGUAGA